rnacentral:misc_RNA from 1 species
AAAGCAGAAGCCCCGACCAAG